ACCAAAAUUAAUAUGGCGUGUUUGGUUACAAAGUGUUUGAUUUCCUUGGUACAUGUAGCAAUGGAUUCUAAGAACUGGAGAAAAAAGCCUUCAUGCAGCAGACUUAAAAUUUAUGGAGAAUAAAAUUUAGUAACAUGCACUUGUAAGGUAAUGAAAAAAUAAUUAUAAGUCUUUCUUAUUUCUUGCAUAUGUACAAUAUCUUCACUGAUCUUAACUUUCUUUGAGUUUCUUCCUUUUUAAAUAAAUUGGUCUAAACUGAUCGAGUCAAUGCUAUUUUAUGUUUCUAUUGGAAGUGGAACGAAACAGGCAGCACAUAGGUUGAAAAUUAUAUUUGUUUUAGCUUUUAAAAGCGGCGGAACUUCAUGGAAAUCUAACCCAGGCCCAGCGUCUAGAUGCCUUGAAACUUUUCAGGAAGCAGGAAAUAGAUAUUCUUGACUGCGACAGAUGCUGCUGCUUGUGAAUCUCAGGAAAGACAAAAUGGUUCUGGAAGUGAGGUGAUUAGUGCCGAACAAGCAGAGGAAAAGAGAAAGCAACAGAGAGAGAAAAAUUUGCCUAGGAAGUGAAGGAGGAAAUUGGAAGCUGCUAGAGAGAUGCUAGAAGAGGAAAAUGAUGCAUGUGUAUUUCCGUUUUCUUUUUUUCUUUUUUUUUUUUUUAUUCUUUUUGUACCAUGUUGAAUUAGUUUACAUUUUCUUAUAUUGAAAUUCAUAUCGUAUACAUCAAUGGUGCAAAGGGAUUUCAACGUAGCUUGUGAUGCAAAUAUUGGCUAAAUUAUUUCAUACAUAUACAAUAACGAUGGGGUAUUUUGCACAACUAUG